GUCCUGCGCUGCAUCCCCGUCCCACUCCGCCUGCCCCGCCGCCCAGUUCCUCGCCGGCGACCAAGGACGCCGUGGUCCCCAGGGUAAGGGACCCGGGAGGCUCGGUCCCCGAGGACGCUGGAUCCCGCGCUCUGCCCACCUGCCUACCUCUGCGGCGGCGCCCGAAGUCCCGGCUCCUUGCCCGCGCCGGCCGCACUCGGAGCCCCGAGCGGCCGGGACAGCGCCGCCUCCUGCAGGAUUGGCGGCCAGAGUAGCUAAUCGGAAGGGGAGGCCGACCACCUGGCGUCACUGGAGGAGGUGUUUAUAACUCUGGCUCCUCCUGGUGCCCCUCGGAGUAAGGAGCCCUGUCCCAAGCGGUGUUCCCACUGUCGUCCCCACACCUAUCAGGGCCCGAUGAAGCAUUUAGUCAUCUCUUUUUCAUUCCCUUUGCCUCGAUUGGACCUGUGGACCACCCUCUUGCAUUGUCUCUAGGCGUGAAUGAACUCUCUCCUCUUGCCAAUCCUUUCUUUCUGCAUUUUCUAGUUGUUUCGAUGGAGACAAAAGUUUCUGACCUCACGCCGUCGGGUGAUCUGUGUCCUCAUUAUCACCGUGUCUGUGGACAGCACACAUCAAUGGUGACAGGCUAAGCUCAAAACUUCCAGAGCUCAUGAGAUUUUAGUAGGCAUUAGUAAGACCUCACAAAGGUGUUUUGUUGUUUGUUUUGUAGGUCUUUGUUUAAGAUACUACAUAUGAAAGCCACAUAAGAAAUUAGUGCUCCAGUGAUAUAGGAAUAUCAAAUGUGGGGCUGGGAAGAUGGCUCAGUGGGCAAAAGCACACUUUACCUGUAGUUGCAGUGCAAUCCUGGUGAGCCGAGCUUAAUUCUGUAAAGGCAGAAUGAGAGAACUAACUCCACAAAGCUGUCGUCCUCUGACCUCCAUACAUGUCUGUUAUACACACAGAUGUCAUGUACACACGACUACCAUUCUACUGCAGACAUUUUUAUUCUAGCUGUGUAGUAACUGCAAAGUGGACAGGAUCUUUAAAACACAUGGGGAAAUGUUAACAAGUGAGGAUAUGGGACCUGAACUGAAACAAGGUUUAGUUCAUCAAAACGAUCUGUUACUACAGUAUCAGACCUCAUCAAAGGACCCUGUUACUAUACUAUUACAGUUCAUCAAAAGACCCUGUUAAUAAAGUUUCAGUGUUCAUCAAAGGACCUUAUUACUACAGUAUCAAGAGUUCAUCAAAGGACUCUGUUACUACAGUAUCAAGAGUUCAUCAAAGGACCCUGUUACUAAAGUUUCAGUGUUCAUCAAAGGACCUUACUACUACAGUAUCACAGUUCAUCAAAGGACCCUGUUACUACACUAUUACAGUUCAUCAAAGGACCCUGUUACUACACUAUUACAGUUCAUCAAAGGACUCUGUUACUACAGUAUCAAGAAUUCAUCAAAGAACCCUGUUACUAAAGUUUCAGUGUUCAUCAAAGGACCUUACUACUACAGUAUCAAGAGUUCAUCAAAGGACCCUGUUACUACAGUAUCGGACCUCAUCAAAGGACCCUGUUAGUACAGUAUCAGAGGCAGGGGCAGACUCAGCAAACAUGCAAUGUGGGCAUGAGUGUGUGUGAAUGAGCCAGUGAUGGUUGUAGUAAUGUCUAUAAAGGAGACUGAACCAUCCUGGCAGUCAUAGGUUCUGAGGUAUUGAGCAAGAUCUACCUCAACAUAACUGAGGAUGUCUAUCUAAAGUUUAUUUUACCCUAGUGCCUGUACAAUGGAAGCUUUUAGUAACUUUCAAGUUGAAUAAAAAGGUAUUUGGUUCCACCAAUCAGA